rnacentral:lncRNA from 1 species
GGAACUUGAGUAAAAAAUCAAAAUUUCAUUUUCAAAAAAGAAAACAAAAACAAUUGUGAAGUUAAUUUUCGUAGGGAUUAAAUGACUUCUCAUUUGGAGUAUUUUUCAUUAAAUUUGCAACAAUUUUCCAGAUUCAUCUAGUGACAUUUAGAAUCUAUCAGCAACGUAAACUAAAGAACAAAUCUUUUAGAGAUGGGGUGACUGAAGAUUUUUUAUUCAGAUGAUUCUGGACACUGCUAGGGAAGGUAGGCCCAACUUCAUUAAUAGUGUUUUCCAUAUGGUUGCUUCUUUUUUGCCCAUGCUUUUUCCAUGAAUGCUCUUUUCAUGUCGACCAGGACGUAAUUAGGGUAGGGCGAGGCGGCGGGCGGGGCCUUCGCGCCCCAAACCCCAAAGUUCCUAAAAUUGUU